GAUGAACGCUAGCGAUAGGCUUAACACAUGCAAGUCGAGGGGCAGCGUGGUCUUAGCUUGCUAAGACUGAUGGCGACCGGCGCACGGGUGCGUAACGCGUAUGCAACUUGCCUCACAGAGGGGGAUAACCCGUCGAAAGACGGACUAAUACCGCGUACACUCCAUCUUGGGCAUCCAAGGUAGAGGAAAUGAAAUUCGCUGUGAGAUAGGCAUGCGUCCCAUUAGCUAGUUGGUGAGGUAACGGCUCACCAAGGCGACGAUGGGUAGGGGAACUGAGAGGUUGAACCCCCACACUGGUACUGAGACACGGACCAGACUCCUACGGGAGGCAGCAGUGAGGAAUAUUGGUCAAUGGGCGAGAGCCUGAACCAGCCAAGUCGCGUGAAGGAUGACUGUCUUAUGGAUUGUAAACUUCUUUUAUACGGGAAUAACAAGAGUCACGUGUGACUCCCUGCAUGUACCGUAUGAAUAAGCAUCGGCUAACUCCGUG
rnacentral:rRNA from 1 species